GACGAACGCUGGCGGCGUGCUUAACACAUGCAAGUCGAACGGAAAGGCCCUGCUUUUGUGGGGUGCUCGAGUGGCGAACGGGUGAGUAACACGUGAGUAACCUGCCCUUGACUUUGGGAUAACUUCAGGAAACUGGGGCUAAUACCGGAUAGGAGCUCCUGCUGCAUGGUGGGGGUUGGAAAGUUUCGGCGGUUGGGGAUGGACUCGCGGCUUAUCAGCUUGUUGGUGGGGUAGUGGCUUACCAAGGCUUUGACGGGUAGCCGGCCUGAGAGGGUGACCGGCCACAUUGGGACUGAGAUACGGCCCAGACUCCUACGGGAGGCAGCAGUGGGGAAUAUUGCACAAUGGGCGGAAGCCUGAUGCAGCAACGCCGCGUGCGGGAUGACGGCCUUCGGGUUGUAAACCGCUUUCGCCUGUGACGAAGCGUGAGUGACGGUAAUGGGUAAAGAAGCACCGGCUAACUACGUGCCAGCAGCCGCGGUGAUACGUAGGGUGCGAGCGUUGUCCGGAUUUAUUGGGCGUAAAGGGCUCGUAGGUGGUUGAUCGCGUCGGAAGUGUAAUCUUGGGGCUUAACCCUGAGCGUGCUUUCGAUACGGGUUGACUUGAGGAAGGUAGGGGAGAAUGGAAUUCCUGGUGGAGCGGUGGAAUGCGCAGAUAUCAGGAGGAACACCAGUGGCGAAGGCGGUUCUCUGGGCCUUUCCUGACGCUGAGGAGCGAAAGCGUGGGGAGCGAACAGGCUUAGAUACUCUGGUAGUCCACGCUGUAAACGGUGGGUACUAGGUGUGGGGUCCAUUCCACGGGUUCCGUGCCGUAGCUAACGCUUUAAGUACCCCGCCUGGGGAGUACGGCCGCAAGGCUAAAACUCAAAGGAAUUGACGGGGCCCCGCACAAGCGGCGGAGCAUGCGGAUUAAUUCGAUGCAACGCGUAGAACCUUACCUGGGUUUGACAUGGAUCGGGAGCGCUCAGAGAUGGGUGUGCCUCUUUUGGGGUCGGUUCACAGGUGGUGCAUGGCUGUCGUCAGCUCGUGUCGUGAGAUGUUGGGUUAAGUCCCGCAACGAGCGCAACCCUUGUUCACUGUUGCCAGCACGUUAUGGUGGGGACUCAGUGGAGACCGCCGGGGUCAACUCGGAGGAAGGUGGGGAUGACGUCAAGUCAUCAUGCCCCUUAUGCCCAGGGCUUCACGCAUGCUACAAUGGCUGGUACAGAGAGUGGCGAGCCUGUGAGGGUGAGCGAAUCUCGGAAAGCCGGUCUCAGUUCGGAUUGGGGUCUGCAACUCGACCUCAUGAAGUCGGAGUCGCUAGUAAUCGCAGAUCAGCAACGCUGCGGGGAAUACGUUCCCGGGGCU
rnacentral:rRNA from 1 species